CGGAAUCAUGCGGCCGGCCCGCCCGCCUCAGAACAAUUUGGGCUGACGAGCCGCCACCCUCGGCCCAACACAUAGCCGUACGGUUUAUUGGCGUCUCGCUCCGUCUCCGCACUGUCCUGUUGCGCCGGCCACCACAGUGCAGAAGAACACACAGCAUCCGCCUGCCUCGCCGCCGCAAUGGCCGCCGUGGCGAGAUCCUUUCUCCGGUCCAGCGGCUCAUCGUCCCUCCGCAGCGCGGCGGCCAGAGCCGCCUCGCGGGCCGGACCGGUUCCGCUGCCGAGGCGGAUACCCAGUUCUGGGCCCCGGGUACUCCUAAGCGUGUGCCUGGAGUCCCUGAUGCCCAUGCACAGCGCCACGGCUUCGGCGCUCAUGACGUCGCUACUCGCUGCCCCGGCUUGCAAGGGAUUGGGUUGGCUAUCAGAAGCUGGUAAUGAUGACUUGUGACACUCUCUAGAUGGAAUGUAGCAGAUUAUUAUCCUGUCACCUCAGAUCUACAGAUGGAUGAUUUGUCAUUAUUGGAGACCUGCAGUGAUGGUAUCUGGUCUGGAUUAUGCAAUACCUCGUGAAUUUAUAGUACUUGGUUGGCGUCUCAGUUAACAUGUUUUGUGCUCUGGGAUUCCAGUUUGUAUGAAAUUUACAUAAUUCUUCCUGAGAUUUAUUUUGGCCCACUAGCUGUCAAAAAGACUUUGGUCUUGACGACCAGGCUGAUCAUGUACAUCUGGAAUGAAUAAGCUUGAUUAAAGGCUUUUCACAUUUCACAUAUUUUGCAUUUUAGUCUAAGCGUAGUAUGUUCAAAUGCUGAUUUAGCUUCAAAAUUAUCUCAAUCCACAUGGUU
rnacentral:misc_RNA from 1 species